AGCAGCAGUUCCACACUUUGCAUCAGGCCACAGAAAGAGGUUUCCUUCCUGUUACAUCAGAGAACUCGUGCAGCAUACUGAUACAGUCAAAGUGGAUGUACUGCUCAGCAUAAGAUCAUAUGCAGAUGUUCCUGGUCUAUCCUGAGCAACAUUGAUUCAGCUCUCAUCCUCAGCAGCAAACAAG